UAGCUACGGAGCAAGUAGGACUUCUGAUUGGGCCUGAACCGUAAAGUAGGUUAUAAUACCCUGAACGAGAUUGGCCGCAGAUUAUGCACGCUGACUAGCCAGCGCCAUCGAUUGGCUGUAUUUGAAGGGUCCCAAUGACGAUGUGAUCCCAUCAGGCUGUGCUCGUGGCCCUGCUCCAGAUGUGCCCGUCUACAUAGGAGACAGUAGCGGUAUACCGAGAUUUGUGAACAACAGCCAGUUCGAGUCUGCCAUGUCUGUAUCGUGCCUUCGGUACAUCAGAAAACACCACCAAAGGAUGCACCAGUGACUUGUGGAUGCUUUUCCCGUUUCCUGAAACAGGAGUGAAAGCCCAAGCAAGACAAGUUCUUCAACUGGUGACUCCUCCACAUAGCUUGCACCAGUUGCCAGGAAUGUGCAGACCCAAAAAAUAGUUUGAUUAGAUAUGUUGGUGCACUGAGACAAUGUUGUGUAAAGUGCUGCGGCGUGGACAAGCAAGUUUUCUCACAGUGCACCACAAACAAAUGGCUAGAGCAACUAUAGCUGGGGAGUGCACUAGGAAGCCUGGGAUAGUUUAGUUUGACUAUGUUCUACGUAUCGUAGUGUAGACAUGUAAGACCCAGGUCCAGAAACUGUAAACUUAGGGUCAAUAUGCAGUGUGGAUGCUCAAGCCCGGGCUUACAAACACUGAGUUUGCAGGCUUGAAUCCCACAGACCUGGGCUUAAAUUGCAGUGUAGACAUACCGUAAGGACUUUUGUGAGCACAAUUAUGUCAUAGAAUCAUAGAACCAUGGGAUUAGAAGGGACUGCAAGGGUCAUCUAGUCUACCCCCUUGGCAGGAUACAGGAUUUGUUGUGUCUAAACCAUCUAAGACAGAUGGCUAUCCAGCCUUUUUUUGAAAACCUCCAGCGAAGGCAGUUUGUUCAAUUGUCCUACAGUUUUUACAGUUAGGAAGUUUUUCCUGAGAUUCAAUCUAAAUCUGCUAUGCUGUAGUUUGAACCCAUUGCCUCUUGUCCUGCCCUCAGUGGCAAGAGAGAAUCAUUUUUCUCCAUCUUUUUUAUGGCAGCUUUUCAAGUAUUUGAAGGCCAGUGCCUCAGACCUCCGGAGCUUCCCUCGUUGCUUAUGCACACUCUCUGAGUGUCCUUCCUGCACUGUGUUCAGGCUGGGCAUCUAAUUUAACCUCUUUGGGGCCAACCAGGCAGGAAGGCAAGGAACACCAGCUUGCUUAGCAAAGGAAUUUCUUAACUACAUUCACUUCACUCUGAAAGCAUUAGACUUACAAGUUUUGCAAAAUAACAAGUACUGAGAUGUAACCCCCCUCUACUAGCCUCUAGUUUGAGCUCACCCCUUCUGUGAGUCAGAACUCUUGUCAGCAUUUCAGGCUAGGCAAAGACUCUCCUGCCAUCUCUCUCUCCAGACAGUGCCUUUUUUACAUAUGGUGAUGAUCUGUCUCCCUUCAGAGAAAAGGAGAGGUUACUCAGCUUGUACAGUAACUGAGUUCCUUUAUAUGUAUGUCCCUAUGGGUAGUUCAUUUCAGGUGUGCAUGUGCCCCUGUGUCUUUGGAGAUUUUUAGUAGCAGUGCCAUAUACACCCAAUACACCCUUGUGCCCCAUUCCCAGGAUAUAUAAGGCUUUGUGGGUGAAUUGCCCUCAGUUUCUUCUCUACCACAAAGUCUCACAGAGAAAACGCCGAACAGAGAGGAAGGAGGGAGUGUAAUGGAGCACCCAUAGGGACAUGCAUCUUAAAGAAUUCCAGUUACUGCUCAAGGUGAGUAACCUCUCCUUCUUUGAGUAGUGUCCCUAUAGGUGCUCCAUUUCAGGUGACUCCCAAGCAGUAUUCCCAUAAAGAGGAGGGAGCUCUGGAACAGAGUCCAAUACUGAAAAGAGAACUGCAUUGUUAAUUGCAGCAUCUGACCUAGAGGCAUGAACCAGAGCAUAAUUGUUGGAGAAAGUAUGUACAGAAGUCCAAGUUGCAGCUCUGCAGAUUUCAGCAUCUUUGAAUAAUGCCACAGAUGUAGACUGUGAUCUUGUAAAAGUGGUUAUCACUCUAGAAAGAGGUUAAAUCUCAGCCAAGUCAUAAUGGGCAAUAAUACACCCCAAGAUCCAUGCUGGGAGUGUCUUGGUGAAGACUGUGGAUCCUUUGUGUAGUGAGGCAAAACAACUUCCAUCUAGUACAGAGGGGGUUAACGCCCGUCAUGGGUGCAGCCAACCCCACCUUGCCCCCCUUGAGGAAGUGCAGGGGUGGAGUAGGAAGUAUAAGAAUAUGGCCCUGCAGCUCAGUUUUGGGCAGACCAGGGAAGGAGGCAGACGUUCCUCUGACAGAGCUGAGCUUUCAGUGAAGCCCAUGAGUGGUAGUGGGGAGAAAAGGCAACCCACUGCUCCAGGAUAUGGAUCACCUCGGGGAGAGAUGGGAGGAAGGGCCACCUGACAGUGAGACUGAGAGCCAGGUUCCAGAAGCGACAGAGUAGUGCCAGCAGAACCACGUAGGAUGUAGCCCAGGAAAGCAUGACAUUGGUCUGAUUGUGCGUCGGGAGGCAAGACAGUAAUCACACAUUUCCCCACCAACCCAGUGGCAAGAUUGCCUGCUACUGCUAGGGCCCUGGGCUGGGACCUGGUGGAGAGGGUGGGCCCGGGUCCCUCUACUCCCUAACCCCAGCCCUCGAAUGCGGGACUGAUAGCACACUAUCCUUUAGGCUAGAAGGCCAGUGACAGAGUUUAAUUGCUGUGCCCAUGUCCAGAGGGCUCAAGCCCCUAGACUAUUGGUGUCCACCCCAGUAGGCCAGGGCUACCAGCUGACUGGUGUGUGCUGAAUCCUCCUUUUUGCACCCUGAACUGUCAUUUGGGCAAUUGAGCAGCUGCAAGUCAGACCGCCCAAUGACCUGCUGGAGGGCAUACCAAUUUCCCGAUGCCUCCAAAAGGGGGUGGCCUCAACCCAAGAGGGAGGACAGUUACACUUUGGACCUGGCCAUAGUUGAAAUGAAGAGUAAACAGUUUUCUGCUGUGUAAUAACACUCUUUUCACUUUGCCUUAACAGAUUGUUUUUAAUCCCAUGAUCCAUUAACCAGCCAUGUGUUGAGGCAAAGAACUCUUGAGAUUUGGGUGAAGGAUCUUUCCAGCUUGCCCCUCCCCUUCUCGCACAGGAAGAUGGGAAGUGAUUAGUGAGCAAGCAAAUGGCCCACUGUCUGAGAACUUGGGAUAUUAGGAGCCAGAGGGAACACAUAUAGAAGACCCGAAUACCAUCGAAGGUGAAAAGCAUGUUAGAGGGAUUGGUGACCCACCCUGUCACUUGGUUGGAACUGAGUGCAUUUCUUGUUUGUGGCAAACAGCUCUAUCUGAGGGGUGCCUCAUAGUUGACGUAUGCGGUGAAGUACAAAGGAAUCUAUUACCCACUCGUGGUCUUGUGAAAAGUGCCUACUGAAUGUAUCCGUGGUCACAUUCUGAGCUCCUGGAAGUUGCAGGUCUAGUUUGAGGAAGACAUCUAUGGCCUUGCAAGUUGCCUGUGAAAUUUUGUCCUGGGAGCAACCUUUCAGAAGCCAAUUGUCUAGGUAAAAAGGCAAGGCUUGCCGAACAUCGAGGGAGUGGCGUCUUUGUUCUUCUGUGGAAAUGUGUGGUUUUGGGAAGAACACAAAUAGGACAUGGAGAAACACCCCAUAAAUGCAAGACUGAACUUUCAUUCAGUUUUUCUUGUGUAAGGUGUUAUUCAGUAACCCAGGUGGACACCUCUCUCUCUUGCUCCCUCAUAUGAAGUCUAUUGACACUGGAGAAGGAAGACAGAGGAUAACAGCACCCAAACAUUGGUAGAUACAGCUACGGGUGAAACUGAUUGAGACUUCAUAAUGUCUGCUUCUCUGGUCAGUCAGGUAACAUCACAUGGCAGAAUCAGUAGGAACCAGAUAUGUAUCAUAACUAAACAUGAUCAGGGAUGCAUGAUGCAGUAAUGUUAAUGUUAUGUGUAAAUUCAAAUGACAAAUACAUAUCUUUAUGCUUGAAGCAUGCUUGAACUCUUAUUUGUUGUUAAGUUUGCCUCAUUGUAAAUGCAUCUCAUAAAUGGGGGUCUGGAAACCUGUGUGAAGAGUUUUCCUGCUUAAAAGAUACCCAAGAUUCAAAAAAAUCUGCCAGGAUGUUUUCCACAGCAUUUAAAGAUUUCAUUUAGAAAGCUAAGUUUGUAGUCCUUCUCUCUUUUUGUAAAGAUAACCUUUUAAAAAACAAACAAAAAAAGCGGUGCUAUCUUCAUCUUCCUGAGUCUAGAGACAUACUAAAAUAGCUGUAAAAUGUAUACUGCUCCAUUCUUCUCAAUGUAGUGGUUAUUCUGCAGCUUAUAAGCAAUUUAAAAGUCACUGUUAACUCUUUCACUUAUGCUUGUCAUAUCAUCUGAACAGUGAAUGAAUCUGAAAGGACAUUCCACAAAAGUUUUAAAAGAUGCCAAUAAUAUUCUAUCAUAUUUCUUCCCCAGCCAGUCAGCAAAGGGUGACCAAUUCCCCAGUUUACCAGCAGUCUUAAUUUCUGGGGUUACCCUAAUCUGCCAACAGAUUAUACUGAAACAUUGGUUAAAACCCAAUUACAGUAUGCUCACUAGCCACCUGGUCAGCCAGCUUCUCCACAACUUUUAGUUCCUAAUACGGCCAGUGCUUCUAACACUCUGUAUCUUAAGAGUCUCAGAUUUCAAGGUCAGAAGGGCCCACUGUGAUCAUCUAGACUGAUCUCCGAUAUAACACAGGCCAUAGAACUUCCUCAAAAUUCCUAGAGCAGAUCUUUUAGAAAAACAUCCAAUCUCG